ACCCCCUCCCCUCUCUUUUCUCAUUUGUUGAAUGCUGCAGAGCCCCUCUCGAAUUUAUUCUCAGAAACAGAGGGCGGCGGCGGCGGAAGGCGCGGCCUCGCCGACGAGCCCACAUAAGCUGUCCCCUCCCCCGUUUAUCUCUCCCCUGUUCUCAUCAGUUUUCUUAGCCCCUCUCUUUCCCUGGUCCAGGCAGCACGGAGUCUGGAGAUGGAAAGCGGCGGCGGCGCAGCCUCAUCCACAAGGGAUUCCCCAAAGUCUCCUCCCUCUAUCUACUCCCUGCCUCCGAUGGGUCCAACCUGCAGGUCGAUUCAUUUGGCUACAAGAAUAUGUACAGGUUAUACUCUUAUGCAGUGUUUUUUGUUUACUUCUCUUUUGAAUGUCUUAAUUUCAAUGGUCAUUUGGUUUGCAUGAUUCACUGCAAGUUGCCUUGGAUCCUGAAAUCGAUGAUGUAGCAGUGGAUAGUGAAAAGAAGCUACACAUGUAUCCAUUUCUCAGUGAACUUUAAAUAAUGAACUACUUUGGGUUGGCUCCUAAAGAGAUCAUGCAUCUUCAUUUUCUUCCCCUCUUCAGACUUGCAGGAGUGUGGUCAUUAUACCACUUUUAGUUCAGAUUGUGUUUACAAGGCUCCUAUUUCUACUUAUAUUUGAGCUACGUCAUUUUACUGUUUACCUGUGCUUGUGUUCAUCCAUCAUCACCCGUUGUAUUUCCCUCACUUUUAUAGAGUACCAUUAAUCCCCUGAAAACCAUAAUUUAAUAUUUUAGGAGCUACAAACUCAUAUCUUAGUAUAUUCAUGAAGUCAUGAUAAAAUUUUCCUAUAAGCUUUGCAUCAAAGAAUGCAGACUUUCAUGAUAAUUUAUUUUAUAAGUUCUUUCGUGCUUUAUGUUGCUUUGUGUCCCUGAGCUGUUACGGUUUAGAAACUGCAAAUCUAAUAAACUAUGGCAAUUGGGUAUCUUGCUUUGGAAGGUAUCAGGUUUUUAGCUUGUCUGUUGCUGGCGUUAUCAAAUCACCUAAGGCUUUCAGUAAAAGUUGAAUGAAAAGGUAGAAUUUUUUCUACUUGGUUUCUAGACUGUGAUGAUUAGUUUUGUAAUAUUACUGUAGCGAGCUUUUGAACGAAGAAUCUGACGGCUUUAAAGCUCUCUAUUGAUGAGACAUUGUUGUCAGAUCUUGAAUUUACGGCAUCCCAUAGAGUUAUAUUACAAUAUUUUCUUAUAUUUUCUUGAUGCGUGUUCACCUUUUCUUUUGUUUGUUUGCCUACUAUCUAUAUACCAUGUGUGUUUUGCUCUAUA